UUGAGAGUUUGAUCCUGGCUCAGAACGAACGCUGGCGGCAUGCCUAACACAUGCAAGUCGAACGAGGUAGCAAUACCUAGUGGCGGACGGGUGAGGAAUACGUAGGGAUCUGCCUUUAAGUGGGGGAUAACCCGGGGAAACCCGGAUUAAUACCGCAUGAUCUCGCAAGAGCAAAGUGGGGGAUCGCAAGACCUCACGCUUUUAGAGGAACCUACGUCGGAUUAGCUUGUUGGUGAGGUAAUGGCUCACCAAGGCGACGAUCCGUAACUGGUCUGAGAGGAUGAUCAGUCACACUGGAACUGAGACACGGUCCAGACUCCUACGGGAGGCAGCAGUGGGGAAUAUUG
rnacentral:rRNA from 1 species